GGCUCCACCCCCACGGACCUAGGUGAGGACAGGCACUCCUGCUUUCGCUCCCAAAUGUUGCAUUUUCCAAGACCACCCUGUCCCGUCAUGCCCUCAUCCUGGGCCUAUAAAAACCAGAGACCCUAGCGGGCACACAGGCAGCCAGAUAUUGAGAGGAACACUUUGGCGGAAGAAGACACGAGUGGCUGGUCGAGAGCACGCUGGAGGAAGAGCCCACCGACAGACGUCAGCAUGCUGGCACACCAUCAACAGGCCUGGCAGAUAUUCGUAAACCACAAUCCUUGCAUCAGGAAUCCUACAGGCUAGUGUGAAGUGAGACAGAUAAACAGAUAAUGUUAUUUGUUUGGCAGUAACACCUAACCACAACGCUCCUGAUGUUCCAAGAGUUCUGUCCAGUUAUCAUUUCCUUUGUCUGAAGAACUUCCCUGAGCAGUUGUUGCAGAGCUGAUUGCUGAUGAAAAAUUCUCUUAGUUUUACUUCAUUUGUGAAUUCUUACUUUUACCUUCAUUCCUAAAGGUUAUUUUCACUGGACUUAGAAUUCUGAGUUGACAUUUGUUUUCUCUGAGCACUUUAGAAUGUUCUGUCUUCUGGCUUUCAUGGGUUUUGAUGCAAAGUUCACAGUCACUUGAAUCAUUGUUUCCGUAUAAGUAAUGUGUUAUUUUUUUCCGGACAUUCUCUUUUUUUUUCUUUUGCUUUUAAUUUCAGUAGUUUGGUUAUAAUGUCUAGGAAUGAAUUUCGUUGAAUUUGUCUUGCUUGGAGUUUCCGGGGCUUCCUGAAUCUGUAAGUUUAUGUUUUUCUCCAAAUUCGGAAAGUUUUCAGUUUUUAUUUCUGUAAGCAUGUUUUCUGCACUGCACUGUCUCUUCUCUUUCUCUGACUCAAAUGGCACAAUUAGACAUUUUCAUGUGGUCCCAUACAUCCCUGAGGCUGUAUUCAUUGUUUCCAGUCUUUUUUCCUCUGUGUUGUUUAAAUUGGCUAUUUUAAAAUGUCUGUCUUCAAGCUGAUUCAUUCUUUUUCUGUCAUCUCCAUUCUGCCAUAUUGAGCCCAUCCAGUGAAUGUUUAAACUUUUGGUCAUUGUGUUUUUUUAGUUGUCAGAUUUUCAUUUGGUUUUUCUUUAUAUAUUUUAUUUCUUUUCUGAGACUUCAUACCUUUCAUUUGUUUCAAGUAUGUUCCUUCUCACUUUUGGAGCACUUUUAUAUUGCUGCUUUAGUCUUUCAUAGAUAAGGUCAACAUAUGUGUCAUCUCAGUAUUGGCUAAGAUUUUCCUCAUAGGCCAAGUGUCUUGACUACUUCAAAUGUUAU
rnacentral:lncRNA from 1 species